rnacentral:lncRNA from 1 species
AUGCGGGAGCCCAGGACGCUGCAGCUGGAGUGGGGGCAGCCCCGGAUCCCAACACAGCCAGGGAACAGGAGGCAGCUGGGGCUUGGGAGUGCCUCAGUGCCCCUCAGCAGGGCCAGCCCUCCUCCCAGCGCUGCUUGGAGCCGUCCCUCCGUCUGUCCGCAGCACCGCAACAUCGGCCGGAUGAGCGCGGCGCCCGUUGCCAUAGCAACGCAGGUGUACCGCCUGGUGACUAACCGAGAGCUGAUCCCAUCACAGAAUGGCAGCCCGGAGUUGCCACGGCAACCGAGAUGCCGAAUUGGGAACCGUGUCAAUGGCACAGUGGAUCUCCUCUGGGACAUGGCUGCUGCCUUGUGCCAAAAUCCCUUGCCUGUCAGUGCACGGCUCUCACAUAAACUGAGUAGGCUCAGUUUUCAGCGAGAUGUGAACUACAUCCCUGUCCAAGGCAUUUGGUUCAAAUCAGCUGAGACAGAGAAUAAUCAAGAUUUAUGAUUCUCAUUCUGACUCGGAUCACACAGUCAGUGCAAACGGUAUCCCUUCUGCAGACAAGGUUAAUGGGAUGUGAGAGACCACAGCUGCCACAGCAUCAAGUGAGGAGGACAGGCAAGAGACAGCAGCAUUAAUCAGCAAGGAGCCAUGCAAAAAUGGUUAUCUCAAGCUGUUUGGAGGCACGGAGUAAAAAUAAAUCUCCCUGAGUUUAAUAUUCUGCCA